rnacentral:rRNA from 1 species
GACGAACGCUGGCGGCGUGCUUAACACAUGCAAGUCGAACGGAAAGGCCCUGCUUUUGUGGGGUGCUCGAUUGGCGAACGGGUGAGUAACACGUGAGUAACCUGCCCUUGACUUUGGGAUAACUUCCGGAAACUGGGGCUAAUACCGGAUAGGAGCUCCUGCUGCAUGGUGGGGGUUGGAAAGUUUCGGCGGUUGGGGAUGGACUCGCGGCUUAUCAGCUUGUUGGUGGGGUAGUGGCUUACCAAGGCUUUGACGGGUAGCCGGCCUGAGAGGGGGACCGGCCACAUGGGGACUGAGAUACGGCCCAGACUCCUACGGGAGGCAGCAGUGGGGAAUAUUGCACAAUGGGCGGAAGCCUGAUGCAGCAACGCCGCGUGCGGGAUGACGGCCUUCGGGGUGUAAACCGCUGUCGCCGGUGACGAAGCGUGAUUGACGGUAAUGGGUAAAGAAGCACCGGCUAACCACGUG